AUUGAACGCUGGCGGCAGGCUUAACACAUGCAAGUCGAACGAGUGGCGGACGGGUGAGUAAUGCUUGGGAAUCUAGCUUAUGGCGGGGGAUAACUACGGGAAACUGUAGCUAAUACCGCGUACAAUCGGAUGAGCCCAAGUGGGAUUAGGUAGUUGGUGAGGUAAAGGCUCACCAAGCCGACGAUCUCUAGCUUGUGUGCGAGGAUGACCAGCCACACGGGGACUGAGACACGGCCCAGACUCAGACGGGAGGCAGCAGGGGGGAAUAUUGCGCAAGGGGGGCAACCGGACGCAGCCAGGCCGCGUGAAUGAAGAGGGCCUUCGGGUUGUAAGGUUCUUUCGGUAGCGAGGCGUUAAAUACAGAAGAAGCACCGGCUAACUCCGUGCCAGCAGCCGCGGUAAUAC
rnacentral:rRNA from 1 species